rnacentral:rRNA from 1 species
CCUACGGGAGGCAGCAGUGAGGAAUAUUGGUCAAUGGACGAGAGUCUGAACCAGCCAAGUAGCGUGAAGGAUGACUGCCCUAUGGGUUGUAAACUUCUUUUAUAUGGGAAUAAAAUGUUCCACGUGUGGGAUUUUGUAUGUACCAUAUGAAUAAGGAUCGGCUAACUCCGUGCCAGCAGCCGCGGUAAUACGGAGGAUCCGAGCGUUAUCCGGAUUUAUUGGGUUUAAAGGGAGCGUAGGUGGAUUGUUAAGUCAGUUGUGAAAGUUUGCGGCUCAACCGUAAAAUUGCAGUUGAAACUGGCAGUCUUGAGUGCAGUAGAGGUGGGCGGAAUGCGUGGUGUAGCGGUGAAAUGCUUAGAUAUCACGAAGAACUCCGAUUGCGAAGGCAGUUCACUGGACUGCAACUGACACUGAGGCUCGAAAGUGUGGGUAUCAAACAGGAUUAGAUACCCUUGUAGUC